rnacentral:rRNA from 1 species
CCUACGGGUGGCAGCAGUAGGGAAUCUUCCACAAUGGACGAAAGUCUGAUGGAGUAACGCCGCGUGAGUGAAGAAGGGUUUCGGCUCGUAAAGCUCUGUUGGUAGUGAAGAAAGAUAGAGGUAGUAACUGGCCCUUAUUUGCCGGUAAUUACUUAGAAAGUCACGUCGAACUACGUGUCAGCAGCCGCGGUAAUACGUAGGUGGCAAGCUUUUGCCGGAUUUAUUGGGCGUAAAGCGAGUGCAGGCGGUUCAAUAAGUCUGAUGUGAAAGCUUUCGGCUCAACCAGAGAAUUGCAUCAGAAACUGUUGAACUAGAGUGCAGAAGAGGGGAGUGGAACUCCAUGUGUAGCGGUAGAAUGCGUAGAUAUAUGGAAGAACACCAGUGGCGAAGGCGGCUCUCUGG